AUUGAACGCUGGCGGUAAGCCUAACACAUGCAAGUCGAACGAGUGGCGGACGGGUGAGUAAUGUCUGGGAAACUGCCUGAUGGAGGGGGAUAACUACUGGAAACGGUAGCUAAUACCGCAUACCAUCGGAUGUGCCCAGAUGGGAUUAGCUAGUGGGUGGGGUAACGGCUCACCUAGGCGACGAUCCCUAGCUGGUCUGAGAGGAUGACCAGCCACACUGGAAUGGAGACACGGUCCAGACUCCUACGGGAGGCAGCAGUGGGGAAUAUUGCACAAUGGGCGCAAGCCGGAUACAGCCAUGCCGCGUGUAUGAAGAAGGCCUUCGGGUUGUAAAGUACUUUCAGCGGGGAGGCGUUACCCGCAGAAGAAGCACCGGCUAACUCCGUGCCAGCAGCCGCGGUAAUUC
rnacentral:rRNA from 1 species